GAGGUGUUUAUUAAAAUAAAAAAAGCUGCUAACUUUUUUUAGAGUGGGUAAGAUCAUUCACAUCUCU
rnacentral:tRNA from 1 species